AUUUGCGAUGAUGAUAAAUGAUAAUCCCAGCUCUAUGAGACCUUUUGUGGUCCGGGAGUACGAAUAUGUUCAUAUAUCUGAGCCCAGAU